GUGGUAGUUCCAACUGGCGAAUCGUCGAAUCUGUCUCUGGUUCCAACAACAGCUCUUGUCAUAAACAUCAAGCGCUAUUCCUUUGAGAAAACGAGAGGAUGCAGGGCUACAAAGAGUCCAUCAGCAUUGAGUCAGCGGGAUAAAUGAAGAGCCAAGUUUGCACCGCCAUCUCCCGGCUUAGUCUCAGCAGGUCUUUGACAAAACCACUGAAUAGUACUACACUAUGGCUUUUCAAUAAGACAGGAAUCUAUGAAUGAAAAUACUUUGGGCACAAUUGCACAUGAUAGAUACCAGCAAGGGCCCAGGCCAUAGGCCUUUUCUGCCUGCCCCCCACAUGCUGCUGCAGCUUUCCUCUGCAACCCUCAAUGUUUUUAAAUACCCCUACAGGAUCAGGGGGAAGGAUUCAGUCCUGGGUGAAAGGAUAUAGUGACAAUGAGUAAGGAGCUUGAAAAUGACCCAGCCUGCUGCCAACAUUGCUGCAGAUCUCUUGGUGGAGAGCCCAGAUCCAUUCCAGUAAGCUGCUCAAAAUGUUUGAUUCCAUUUUUUAUUUGGUUGCCAAUUUAUUAAGUGGUUAACCUUGGACUGUAUCUAUCCAGCAUUUAAUUAAGGCCAGUUUGAAAUACCUUCAGAAACCUUACUAAUUUCA